ACCCUCAGACAUCCUUAGGCACCUGGGCUUUGACACAUCUUGCAGGGGCCCCUACACCCUUGCCAUUAACUAUGCUUCAAAAAUUAUAACUUUAAGUGCCUGCAUAGUAUUCUGUGAUAUGGAUUCACUAUUACUUAUCCUAAAUCUUCUGGGGUUUUUUUUGGUACUCAGGAUUGAACUAGGGACCUUGUGCUUGCAAGCCAGGCAGCAGCACCCCUGAGCUAAAUCCCUGGCCCUCCUAAAUCUUCUUUUGUUGGACCUUUGGUGGACAUUUGGCCCGUUUCAAGGUGAUUCUUUAGUCAUCUAAAUUUUUGUCUACAAUUAUUAUUUCUUGAAGAUAAAUUUCAAAAGUGUCAAGAAAUAGAACAACAUGCACAAAGGGCUGAAGACGAUCCUUGUCCUGUCUGCCCUCAUCAGCCUUCAGAUGACAAACCAAUGCUGAUAACAUCUUGCUCCAAUGCCAUUUCUGAAUCUGGGCCAACCGAAGAGUCAAGGCUUGUGCUGCAUGGAGUAAGCAGGAAAGAAUAAUCUGGAUCUUGUUGUUGCAAAAAUAAAGAAAUAAAUAAAAGUGACUGGUGGAGAGCAAUUUCUGGAAAAAGAUAAAGUGCCUUAUGGCUUGAGGAGGGAUAGGGGUGAAGGAUGGGUUUCUAUUUAAAAAUAGGCAAUGAAACCUGGUUAUGAGUUAUAUAGAUUUGUACAUCAUGCAAUUUUCCCACAGGUUGGAGAAUGGAUGGAUUACUUCUAAUAAAUUACUUCCAAGGAUUUCACACAUUCUUUGAAUUAUUUUCUAAGUGAAUCUGUGAUAAACUGCUAUAGCACCCAUCAAGAGCUGCAAAUGCUGCCAUCUAAAUGAUGAACAAAUGCAGGGGAAGAUCCAGCCAAAUGCAGAAUCAGAAUUUCCAGGCAUCAAAAUGAGAGCUUUCAACCCAGAUCUUACUCUGUCAGUUUUUACAAAAC
rnacentral:lncRNA from 1 species